GUAGACUACCAGGUUGAUAGGUCAGAGGUGUACAUGUAGAAAUACAUUUAGCUGACUGAUACUAAUAGACCGAGGACUUGACCUAA
rnacentral:rRNA from 1 species